UUUUCUGAAAUUUUAUAAACCAAACAACUAAUCGAUUAAUAGAGAAAAUAAUCAGCAGAUUAAUCAACAAUGGAAAUAAUUGUUAGGUGCAGCCCUAUAAUUUAGUUAUAGUAUUUUUGUCCUUGACCUUUUAUACUUUGCUAUGAUGUGAAGU